GACGAACGCUGGCGGCGUGCUUAACACAUGCAAGUCGAACGGAAAGGCCCUGCUUUUGUGGGGUGCUCGAGUGGCGAACGGGUGAGUAACACGUGAGUAACCUGCCCUUGACUUUGGGAUAACUUCAGGAAACUGGGGCUAAUACCGGAUAGGAGCUCCUGCUGCAUGGUGGGGGUUGGAAAGUUUCGGCGGUUGGGGAUGGACUCGCGGCUUAUCAGCUUGUUGGUGGGGUAGUGGCUUACCAAGGCUUUGACGGGUAGCCGGCCUGAGAGGGUGACCGGCGACAUUGGGACUGAGAUACGGCCCAGACUCCUACGGGAGGCAGCAGUGGGGAAUAUUGCACAAUGGGCGGAAGCCUGAUGCAGCAACGCCGCGUGCGGGAUGACGGCCUUCGGGUUGUAACCGCUUUCGCCUGUGACGAAGCGUGAGUGACGGUAAUGGGUAAAGAAGCACCGGCUAACUACGUG
rnacentral:rRNA from 1 species